rnacentral:rRNA from 1 species
AGUGUAAGCAAUUUAUACUGUGAAACUGCGAAUGGCUCAUUAAAUCAGUUAUCGUUUAUUUGAUAGUACCUUACUACAUGGAUACCUGUGGUAAUUCUAGAGCUAAUACAUGCUAAAAACCCCGACUUCGGAAGGGGUGUAUUUAUUAGAUAAAAAACCAACGCCCUUCGGGGCUCCUUGGUGAAUCAUAAUAACUAAACGAAUCGCAUGGCCUUGCGCCGGCGAUGGUUCAUUCAAAUUUCUGCCCUAUCAACUUUCGAUGGUAGGAUAGUGGCCUACCAUGGUGGCAACGGGUAACGGGGAAUUAGGGUUCGAUUCCGGAGAGGGAGCCUGAGAAACGGCUACCACAUCCAAGGAAGGCAGCAGGCGCGCAAAUUACCCAAUCCCGACACGGGGAGGUAGUGACAAUAAAUACUGAUACGGGGCUCUUUCGGGUCUCGUAAUCGGAAUGAGAACGACCUAAAUAACCUAACGAGGAACAAUUGGAGGGCAAGUCUGGUGCCAGCAGCCGCGGUAAUUCCAGCUCCAAUAGCGUAUAUUAAAGUUGUUGCAGUUAAAAAGCUCGUAGUUGAACCUUGGGUCUGGCUGGCCGGUCCGCCUCACCGCGAGUACUGGUCCGGCCGGACCUUUCCUUCUGGGGAACCUCAUGGCCUUCACUGGCUGUGGGGGGAACCAGGACUUUUACUGUGAAAAAAUUAGAGUGUUCAAAGCAGGCCUUUGCUCGAAUACAUUAGCAUGGAAUAAUAGAAUAGGACGUGCGGUUCUAUUUUGUUGGUUUCUAGGACCGCCGUAAUGAUUAAUAGGGAUAGUCGGGGGCGUCAGUAUUCAGCUGUCAGAGGUGAAAUUCUUGGAUUUGCUGAAGACUAACUACUGCGAAAGCAUUCGCCAAGGAUGUUUUCAUUAAUCAGGGAACGAAAGUUAGGGGAUCGAAGACGAUCAGAUACCGUCGUAGUCUUAACCAUAAACUAUGCCGACUAGGGAUCGGACGGGUUUCUAUGAUGACCCGUUCGGCACCUU